rnacentral:rRNA from 1 species
CUACGGGGGGCUGCAGUGGGGAAUAUUGGACAAUGGGCGAAAGCCUGAUCCAGCCAUGCCGCGUGUGUGAAGAAGGCCUUCGGGUUGUAAAGCACUUUCAGUGGGGAAGAAAGCCUUGGGGCUAAUACCCUCGAGGAAGGACAUCACCCACAGAAGAAGCACCGGCUAACUCCGUGCCAGCAGCCGCGGUAAUACGGAGGGUGCGAGCGUUAAUCGGAAUUACUGGGCGUAAAGCGCGCGUAGGCGGUCUGAUAAGCCGGUUGUGAAAGCCCCGGGCUCAACCUGGGAACGGCAUCCGGAACUGUCAGGCUAGAGUGCAGGAGAGGAAGGUAGAAUUCCCGGUGUAGCAGUGAAAUGCGUAGAGAUCGGGAGGAAUACCAGUGGCGAAGGCGGCCUUCUGGACUGACACUGACGCUGAGGUGCGAAAGCGUGGGUAGCAAACAGGAUUAGAUACCCGGGUAGUC